GACGAACGCUGGCGGCGUGCUUAACACAUGCAAGUCGAACGGAAAGGCCCUGCUUUUGUGGGGUGCUCGAGUGGCGAACGGGUGAGUAACACGUGAGUAACCUGCCCUUGACUUUGGGAUAACUUCAGGAAACUGGGGCUAAUACCGGAUAGGAGCUCCUGCUGCAUGGUGGGGGUUGGAAAGUUUCGGCGGUUGGGGAUGGACUCGCGGCUUAUCAGCUUGUUGGUGGGGUAGUGGCUUACCAAGGCUUUGACGGGUAGCCGGCCUGAGAGGGUGACCGGCCACAUUGGGACUGAGAUACGGCCCAGACCCCUACGGGAGGCAGCAGUGGGGAAUAUUGCACAAUGGGCGGAAGCCUGAUGCAGCAACGCCGCGUGCGGGAUGACGGCCGUCGGGUUGUAAACCGCUUUCGCCUGUGACGAAGCGUGAGUGACGGUAAUGGGUAAAGAAGCACCGGCUAACUACGUG
rnacentral:rRNA from 1 species